rnacentral:misc_RNA from 1 species
CUCCUUGAACCAAUGUCUGC